rnacentral:rRNA from 1 species
AGAGUUUGAUCAUGGCUCAGAUUGAACGCUGGCGGCAUGCCUUACACAUGCAAGUCGAACGGCAGCAUGAUCUAGCUUGCUAGAUUGAUGGCGAGUGGCGAACGGGUGAGUAAUACAUCGGAACGUGCCCUGUAGUGGGGGAUAACUAGUCGAAAGAUUAGCUAAUACCGCAUACGACCUGAGGGUGAAAGUGGGGGACCGCAAGGCCUCAUGCUAUAGGAGCGGCCGAUGUCUGAUUAGCUAGUUGGUGAGGUAAAGGCUCACCAAGGCGACGAUCAGUAGCUGGUCUGAGAGGACGAUCAGCCACACUGGGACUGAGACACGGCCCAGACUCCUACGGGAGGCAGCAGUGGGGAAUUUUGGACAAUGGGCGAAAGCCUGAUCCAGCAAUGGCCGCGUGUGUGAAGAAGGCCUUCGGGUUGUAAAGCACUUUUGUCCGGAAAGAAAUGGCUCUGGUUAAUACCUGGGGUCGAUGACGGUACCGGAAGAAUAAGGACCGGCUAACUACGUGCCAGCAGCCGCGGUAAUACGUAGGGUCCAAGCGUUAAUCGGAAUUACUGGGCGUAAAGCGUGCGCAGGCGGUUGUGCAAGACCGAUGUGAAAUCCCCGAGCUUGACUUGGGAAUUGCAUUGGUGACUGCACGGCUAGAGUGUGUCAGAGGGGGGUAGAAUUCCACGUGUAGCAGUGAAAUGCGUAGAGAUGUGGAGGAAUACCGAUGGCGAAGGCAGCCCCCUGGGAUAACACUGACGCUCAUGCACGAAAGC